UACACUCCUACGGGAGGCAGCAGUGGGGAAUUUUGGACAAUGGGCGAAAGCCUGAUCCAGCAAUGCCGCGUGUGUGAAGAAGGCCUUCGGGUUGUAAAGCACUUUUGUCCGGAAAGAAAUCCUUGGCUCUAAUACAGUCGGGGGAUGACGGUACCGGAAGAAUAAGCACCGGCUAACUACGUGCCAGCAGCCGCGGUAAUACGUAGGGUGCGAGCGUUAAUCGGAAUUACUGGGCGUAAAGCGUGCGCAGGCGGUUUGCUAAGACCGAUGUGAAAUCCCCGGGCUCAACCUGGGAACUGCAUUGGUGACUGGCAGGCUAGAGUAUGGCAGAGGGGGGUAGAAUUCCACGUGUAGCAGUGAAAUGCGUAGAGAUGUGGAGGAAUACCGAUGGCGAAGGCAGCCCCCUGGGCCAAUACUGACGCUCAUGCACGAAAGCGUGGGGAGCAAACAGGAUUAGAUACCCCAGUAGUCCC
rnacentral:rRNA from 1 species